rnacentral:lncRNA from 1 species
AUGAGAGGUACGUGCUCCUACACCACGAGGGCAGUGGCUACAUCAUGUGAUGGUGCUACAACGACCGGGUUUUACUUUCAAAUCAGGAAAAGCAGUAACGGCCAGGAAAGUGAAUUCCAUUUCGGGAGCAGACUGGGACCUGGGAGGCUGGCUGUGGGCUGGACCAGGACGAGAAUUCAGGACAGCCCGGUCCCUGCCAGGGCUGCUCUCCAGGAAGAGAACUGGAAACCCUUCUCUAAGGGAAAUCGGCCUGUCCUGGAAAGCCAACUUGCGUGCGUGCGUGCGUGCGUGCGUCUGCACAUGGGUGUGAGUCUGUGCGUGCAUGUGUGUCGGUGUGUGCGUCUGCACAUGGGUGUGAGUCUGUGCGUGCGUGUGUGUCGGUGUGUGCGUUUGCACAUGGACGUGAGUCUGUGCGUGCGUGUGUGUCGGGGUGGGGGUGGCGGGGGGACGUCCCGGCCCUCACCCUCCGCGGCCUCGCUGCCAGCCGCCAACCCCACCGUCUGUUGUGGCAGAUGUUUGGCUGUGCCAUGGCAACGCCGGAACAGGAUGUACCUCUGGAUUGCAGCAGGGACAAGCCCAAGCUCACAGGCCGCCCACACCGUUCCCCUCCCCAAAGGCCUGCUGCGGAGAAGAACCGCUUGGGUCCAGAGGAGUCCCUCUACUCAAGAUCCUGAGGGGCUACCCCUGGAGCCGGGCGGGACCUCAAGCCUUCCCGGCCUGCUGGGAAGAGCCAUGGAGAAGCAGGAAGCAGCGUUCUCACCGCAGGAAGGGGCGACUUGUAAACAUCUGAGCAGCUUCCCACCAGUCCCGCUUCUCGGAGAAGCUGCUGCCGAGCUGUUCCUCGAGUGACUGAGCAUCUCUCACUGCUGAGCUCUCCCUUUCCUCCCCAGACUUGAGUACGUGUGACCUAAUGAACCUGAGUGUCGAAGCUCCAGUGGGGUGACCCAUGUCUCCGAACCCCUUCCCAAGCCCUGCCAGAUGCUCAAGCGCCUUCAAAAUCCUCGUAGGACCUUGUGGCCUUCUGCAGCAGGUGAGACUCAACGAUAACUUUGUGGGUCCUUCUCCCCGGAUGGGGGGGACGAGGACCACACACAUGCACUUUGCCCCUGCCUCCGCCAGGGCUGGCCAGACCCGCAUCACUCAGCUGUGACAACACACCAGCACCGGGAAGUCAAAGCUCAGAGGACCUCCACACGCCCCGGGGUCGGUCUGACGACGGUGUCUGUGCCUUCCUGUCGCUUUAAGUAGCGGUGUUUGGUGCGGGCAACUUUAAAAGUCUUGACGCUUUUGGGGGAGGGGGGCGUGGGUCCUGACAGCAACAACAGAAAAGUUCUCUUUAGGGAAAAAAAAACCUUUUCUGACACAGCAUUUUCCCCUGGAACAAGCCUUGGUCAUUACUGGAUUUUUAAAAAUAAAAAACGUGCACAGCAGGAUUAGAGGUAGGAA